UGCAUGUGUGUGUGCAUGUAUGCAUGCGUGUGUGUGCAUGUAUGUGUGUACAUGUGUGUGUGUG
rnacentral:miRNA from 14 species